CAGAGUUCUUUAUCAUCAAGAAAUACCCAACAAAAUUGGUAUCAAAGCCAAGAGGGUUUCUGGAUGUGCUUCUUUACACAAGUUAUUCUUUAGGUCGAAGAAAAAAUAUUUUGAAUCUGAAUUUUUUUUUAAGAUCUGUCGAUUUUUUAAAGGAUCUGACAAAAUUUUUUCACUAAUAAUCUUAUUUUGUGACUUUUCAGUGAGUAACGGUGGACUUAUCACCACUUGGCCACUGGUGAUUGUGUUCUUGGUCUCAGGAUUGAUCCCUUUUUUACUGUUUUUCACAAACAGUAGUUUGGGGAGAAAUUUCCAUAAAUCUUUAUAAUUGUUGAACUAUUGAUGCAUGUUUAUUGAUAUAUGUAACUACAUAGUUACUUUCUUGUAUGGAAGAUGAAUCUGACUUGCAUGGACAUAUGUCUGCUCAAUGAUACGUUAUGUUUCGAAAUUGCUUAAGACUGCAGCUUGCAAUUCUUGAUACAUAAUUACUGUCAUUGUGAUCAUUAUUGAUAUUAAUAUAAUUCUUGAUCAAAAAUCAUACUUAUCUGCUUCAAUUACUAUAUUUUGAUAAGUGCUUUAAAUUGGAAUUUUUUUAAAAACCUUUUCUGUUAAUAGUUUGAUCUGCACAUGAGAUCACACUAUGUCCAUGAGUGUUGCCACCCUUUUACACAACCUGCAAUGGGUUUACAGGUCAAAUUAAGUCAAUUCGAUGGAAAGAGAGACUACGCUAUAUGGAAACAGAAAAUGAUGGCCAUUUUGGUCCAACAGAGGGUUGCAAAAGCCCUUGAUGCUCCAGAAAAAUUUCCUGAUGAACUUAAAGCUAAACCUAGUGAAAUUGAAGAGAUGAACGAAAUUGCAUAUAGUUCAAUAAUUUUGCAUUUAUCUGAUAACAUGGUUAGACAAAUUGAUGAGUCUAAGACUACUAGAGAUUUAUGGACUGCUCUUGACAAUAUAUUUCUGACCAAAACUUUACCAAAUAAAAUCUAUCUUUUGGAAAAACUAUUUAGUUUCAGAAUGGACCCAGAAGUAAAGUGACCUUUCUGAAAUAACGAUCCAGAAAGGUGUAUCUCGAUGCAACUUUUUCUCAUUCAAUCUUUCUAUGCUCAAGAAAAUCCUGAUGUACUUCAUAUUAGAUGUUGACAUGUUAUUAUGGUUACCCAAAAUUACUAAAGAAUCUGUUUGCCACUUAAUUCAAUCUCUCAUUUACAGCCUAUAUCAUUAUUUACUUCCAUAUUUCUCCAAAUGAAUCCUGGAGAUAUUCUAUGUUCCUGGCAAUGAUUUGGUCAAACUUCAUUAUCAACCACAUACCACGUAUUAAAAUGGAUUAUUUUCCACUGGACAGUGUAACGGAAACUUCCAAAUGAAAAUGGCUACUCGACGGUUGGUUUUUCAGAUUCAUUUUUCUUGUUACUAGUCUCUCUCUGGAGCCUUCUUCGAGAGAGAUUUUUCAUCUCUUUCUUCUCUUUGGUUAAAUUUUUCUUGUGUAAUUGUAUUUUUACACUCGGCCUUAAUAAUUUGUGGGUUGGUUUUUGUGGCUGUUGGUUUCGGUUUGUGUAAACUAUGGAGUUAGGGCUAAGUACUGUGGAAGGAUUUGUGUUUGGUUUCGUAGAUCUGUUGAUCAAUGAUCGAAACUUGUGUAUUCUGAGUGGUUUGAUGUAACUUUGGUUCUCUUGGACGGCAAUUUGCAGUGCAAUUUAGCACUUGUUCGUGCUUCUUCAAAUGCAAUACUUUAACUUAUAUCCAAUAAAUUAAAUGUGCGAAACUUCAAAACAACAAAAAACUAUGCCAUACACAGUUUCCUCUCUGCCUAUAGAAGCUAAAAGGAAAAAAGUUUGCAGCAAACUUACAUAGAGAGAGAGCAAUUAUACAUCACAGAGACAUAUAUAGAGCAAUGCAUCAAAUUUAUGUUGCAUGAUUAUAAUUUACAAAACCGCACUGCAUGCUCAAUCCGUCAUAAGAAAAUUCCUAUUUUCAGCCUUCACACAACUGAAUCAAACCACAAAAAUUCACAACGAAUUCAAAAAAAUGCAUCAGGCCCCAAGCAGCAAGCACUUGAAUUUUGAUUUCUAGGCUCCAGUCAUGGUUAAUUACAUAAGUACUCCUGAGAAUUGCAAUGAAGUUUAGUUUUCAAACAAGAAUGUCAGGAGGGUUUCAAUAAAUUUCCUCACCUAUUAAGUAAAGCUCAGGCUGGAAUUGUCAAUGCCAUUAGCCUUCACCAUCACCUGCCUUGGUCACCUUCUGUCCCGCCAAAACCGCACAAAGCCACCUCUGUCAAGGAACACCACAACCUGCCACCACUACCAUCACCCACCGUCUCUCAACCCAACACCUCCAUGAUAUUGUCGUUGCAACACCACUGUUGCUUUAAACUCUCACAAACCACCUCUGCACUAUGCUGAACAAUGACGAUGGAGAGUCAAUGGAUUUGAAAUCAACAUAAAGUGAGCCUCAAAUUGGUUAGGUUUUAUGGUGAACUUAUAACCUUAGAAAGUGUGAGUUAUCAAACACCAUUACCGGAUUUGGGAAAUUGAUUUCAAAUCCAUCAAUCUAAAUGGGAUCCUCAAAGAUUUGCCUUAACCAAUAAAAAAUGACCUAAAAGCUGUAAUAAAAAGCCCAGACAUCAAAUUAAUGCCACUAACCCUUUACCGGCGGCAUUAAUUCAAUAUGUUGAAUAUUUGGUGCAAAGUAUUAGUACAUCCACUUCCCACUCUGACAUGGAGUGAUAUCAAUUUUGCACCUUUUAUUCUAGCAUCAGUAAAGUGACCUUUCUGAAAUAACGAUCCAGAAAGGUGUAUCUCGAUGCAACUUUUUCUCUUUCAAUCUUUCUAUGCUCAAGAAAAUCCUGAUGUACUUCAUAUUAGAUGUUGACAUGUUAUUAUGGUUACCCAAAAUUACUAAAGAAUCUGUUUGCCACUUAAUUCAAUCUCUCAUUUACAGCCUAUAUCAUUAUUUACUUCCAUAUUUCUCCAAAUGAAUCCUGGAGAUAUUCUAUGUUCCUGGCAAUGAUUUGGUCAAACUUCAUUAUCAACCACAUACCACGUAUUAAAAUGGAUUAUUUUCCACUGGACAGUGUAACGGAAACUUCCAAAUGAAAAUGGCUGCUCGACGGUUGGUUUUUCAGAUUCAUUUUUCUUGUUACUAGUCUCUCUCUGGAGCCUUCUUCGAGAGAGAUUUUUCAUCUCUUUCUUCUCUUUGGUUAAAUUUUUCUUGUGUAAUUGUAUUUUUACACUAGGCCUUAAUAAUUUGUGGGUUGGUUUUUGUGGCUGUUGGUUUCGGUUUGUGUAAACUAUGGAGUUAGGGCUAAGUACUGUGGAAGGAUUUGUGUUUGGUUUCGUAGAUCUGUUGAUCAAUGAUCGAAACUUGUGUAUUCUGAGUGGUUUGAUGUAACUUUGGUUCUCUUGGACGGCAAUUUGCAUAGUGGAACGGGUUCAACUACUGAGCCCCCCAAAUUAGGCCGUGUUUGGUUGAACUAGGUCAACAAAUUUCGUUGUUUUGUCUUGUUUUUCGUUUUAUCAUUUGAGUACUUUGAUUUAUUGUUUUCAGUCAGAGUUCUUUAUCAUCAAGAAAUACCCAACAAAAUUGGUAUCAAAGCCAAGAGGGUUUCUGGAUGUGCUUCUUUACACAAGUUAUUCUUUAGGUCGAAGAAAAAAUAUUUUGAAUCUGAAUUUUUUUUUAAGAUCUGUCGAUUUUUUAAAGGAUCUGACAAAAUUUUUUCACUAAUAAUCUUAUUUUGUGACUUUUCAGUGAGUAACGGUGGACUUAUCACCACUUGGCCACUGGUGAUUGUGUUCUUGGUCUCAGGAUUGAUCCCUUUUUUACUGUUUUUCACAAACAGUAGUUUGGGGAGAAAUUUCCAUAAAUCUUUAUAAUUGUUGAACUAUUGAUGCAUGUUUAUUGAUAUAUGUAACUACAUAGUUACUUUCUUGUAUGGAAGAUGAAUCUGACUUGCAUGGACAUAUGUCUGCUCAAUGAUACGUUAUGUUUCGAAAUUGCUUAAGACUGCAGCUUGCAAUUCUUGAUACAUAAUUACUGUCAUUGUGAUCAUUAUUGAUAUUAAUAUAAUUCUUGAUCAAAAAUCAUACUUAUCUGCUUCAAUUAC
rnacentral:lncRNA from 1 species